AGAGAAAUAAUACAUGGCAAUCCUCUACAUAUGGCGACAAUUGGGCCCAAAAAUUCUGUGGUUAAGCGAGAUAUUUGUUAAAUGAAUUUUGCCCCAUUUUUUACAACCUUUCUUGCCACAGUUGUUAAAUGAAUCGCUGUAGUUGAUAAGUUAGUCACCUA